AAACUUCAAAGCCAGUUUGCGAUAAGCCUUCUUUAGGUCUUCUUCACCUGCAUCCUUUGAUACCCCAAGGACUUCGUAAUAGUUUUUAUAUUUCUUCAUACUCGGGCCGUCUCGGUGGGGUAGAGCUUCUGGGCCUUGCCGAGGAAGCGGAGGGCGCGGUCGCGGUUGCCGGCCUCCAGCGCCUCCCGCGCGAUCCCGAUGCACUUCUCCGCCUCGUCCCGGUUCCCCUCCAUGGGCUUCUCCUUCCGCCGCCUCCGCCCGCCGCAGCGCAGAGAGAAGGGGCCCGAAGCCAGAGCGGAGCCGGGCGGGGCGGAGCGAGGAGCGGAGCGGCGCGGGCAGGAGGGCGGCCCAGGGCUCCCGUCACUCCGCCAGGCUCAUUCCGCCGCCUCGCCCCGCGCCGCCGGUCCCGCAGCCCAACCGCCGCUCGGCCCAGCAGCCGGCCCGGCCCACCGCCUCC
rnacentral:lncRNA from 1 species